UACGUAGGGUGCAAGCGUUGUCCGGAAUUAUUGGGCGUAAAGAGCUCGUAGGCGGUCUGUCGCGUCUGCUGUGAAAACUCAGGGCUUAACCCUGAGCUUGCAGUGGGUACGGGCAGACUAGAGUGCGGUAGGGGAGACUGGAAUUCCUGGUGUAGCGGUGAAAUGCGCAGAUAUCAGGAGGAACACCGGUGGGCGAAGGCGGGGUCUCUGGGUAGUAACUGACGCUGGAGGAGCGAAAAGCGUGGGGAGCGAACAGG
rnacentral:rRNA from 1 species